rnacentral:rRNA from 1 species
GCGGCAGAAGGUCAAAUUUGAAAUCUGGCCUCUUUGGGGGUCCGAGUUGUAAUUUGCAGAGGACACUUCGGGUGCGGCCGCGGCCUAAGUCCCCUGGAACGGGGCGUCGCAGAGGGUGAGAAUCCCGUCUUGGGCCGUGGGCCUUGCCCCGUGUGAAGUUCCUUCGACGAGUCGAGUUGUUUGGGAAUGCAGCUCUAAGUGGGUGGUAAAUUUCAUCUAAGGCUAAAUACUGGCGGGAGACCGAUAGCGCACAAGUAGAGUGAUCGAAAGGUUAAAAGCACCUUGAAAAGGGAGUUAAAUAGCACGUGAAAUUGUUGAAAGGGAAGCGCUGGCAGCCAGACACGGACUCGGGGGCUCAGCGGGCAUGCGUGCCCGUGCACUCCCCCGCGGUCCGGGCCAGCAUCGGUUUCGGCGGCCGGUCAAAGGCCCCGGGAAGGUAUCGUCCUCCGGGACGACUUACAGCCCGGGGUGCAAUGCGGCCAGCCGGGACCGAGGUACGCGCUCCGGCACGGAUGCUGGCGUAAUGGCUGUCAGCGGCCCGUCUUGAAACACGGACCAAGGAGUCUAACAACCACGCGAGUGUGCGGGUGUCAAACCCGUGCGCGCAGUGAAAGCGAACGGAGGUGGGAGCCCUCUCGGGGGUGCACCAUCGACCGAUCCUGAAGUCUUCGGAUGGAUUUGAGUAGGAGCGUGGCUGUUGGGACCCGAAAGAUGGUGAACUAUGCCUGAAUAGGGUGAAGCCAGAGGAAACUCUGGUGGAGGCUCGCAGCGGUU